rnacentral:lncRNA from 1 species
CGGCGACCAACAGGUGGAUUGUGAGAGAGAGAGAGCCAGAGAGAGAGGGGCCAUACCUGAGAGAUCUUCAGAUAAAGAAAGAGAUCGCGGCCCGAUGAACUUCAAAAAGGGACGAUGGCGGAGGUGGAGGCAAAGCAACGACGAAGAUGGUGGAGGUGGAGCGACGACGAUGGUGGUGGCCCUUGGGAAGCAACAAUCGUAAGAGAGGGACAGGGGGAGA